CCUUCUUUUCCUGGGGGAGGCUGGGCAUGAGGUACCGGUACCAGGAAUGUACAGAGGCAGAAAGAAAGGGCUCCUGAGCCUCUCAGUAUCAUGUCUUUGGUGCUAAUGGUUUCUAGUUCACCAGUUCUAUUCCCAAACACUCAAAGAAAA